AAAAAAAAUAAGAUCAUCCAUAACAUUCCGGGUUGGACUUGGAAAGCCUACAGGCAGGCGCUUGUGGGUUGGAAUAAUAGAUCGCAAAGGCCCAUGGGAAUGCCUCAACAAUACUUGUUCAAUUAUCAAGGUCUUGGUUGAAGGAUUUAUAACUUUUUGAAAAAUUAAAAAUGUGCGGCGUUAUGAAGGGUCAAUUCCUGGAUGGGUGGGAGGGGGAGGGACUCGUCGCACGGUUAGGUGUAAACUAAAGUAUAGGAGUUCGUGGUACACAAAUUAGAAUCUUUGGCAGUCCACCGUACAAUGUUGGUUUUGACAGUGUUUGUUAUUCACAAAGCUUCACCAAACCAAUUUAUAAGCUUUCAACAUUGAACGGGGUGGGGGAGUUAACUGAAGCGCUAUUUUUGCAAAGCCAUUUGCGAAUCCAAGAAUAUUUAUUCCAUGAGUGGAGUCCAGGUUUUAUUGGGAUAGUUUGAAACUUGUAAUUAUUUUUUACACUCUAGACGCUCAGGCCGACGGGCGUAGUUAUAAUUAAACAAGAUUACCACCUAAUGAUAAGGAAUUUGUCAUUAUGUUGACUAAACGACGAAAAUUAAAAUACUUUUAAAUGCU